UACGAAGGGGGCUAGCGUUGCUCGGAUUCAUUGGGCGUAAAGGGUGCGUAGGCGGUCGUGCAAGUCGGAUGUGAAAUCUCAGGGCUCAACCCUGAAACUGCAUUCGAUACUGCGCGGCUAGAGUGCUGGAGGGGAGACUGGAAUUUACGGUGUAGCAGUGAAAUGCGUAGAUAUCGUAAGGAAGACCAGUGGCGAAGGCGAGUCUCUGGACAGCAACUGACGCUGAGGCACGAAGGCCAGGGGAGCAAACGGG
rnacentral:rRNA from 1 species